GCAAUUGUAGCUUAAAAAACAGCAUUGGUCUUGUAAGCCGAAGACUGGGAAAUACACCCCCUAUUGCUAACCUCUUGAGUAUGAUAAGUACAUUUGCCUUCCAAGCAGAAAGAUUAAGAAGUCCUUAAAGGAGGUAUAGUAUAUUAGCUGAGGCAUAGCAUAAUCUUAAUGCAUCUCGCUUACACCGAAAAGAUACUUAACAUUUAAGUUGCCUUA
rnacentral:misc_RNA from 1 species